rnacentral:lncRNA from 1 species
AGGAUGCAUGAUGUGUUUUACGUUUUGAUGCUACGGAAGUAUCAGCCUGACCUGACUACAUUAUAUAACAUGAGAUCCUCCCGCUGGAGAGAGACUUGACGUAUGAGAAAAAGACAAUUUGCAUCCUCGACCAGCAAGACAGAAAGUUGAGGAGUCAGAUAAUACCGAUGGUGAAAGUGAUGUGGCAACACCACUCUAAUGAGGAGGCAACCUGAGAGCGAGAGGACAAGAUGAGGAUUAACUACCCGCAAUUAUUUAAGGUAAUGUACCAAAUUUGAGGGACCAAAUUAUUUUUUGGGCGGAGGGAUAGAGUAAUAGCUU